UCCUUCAGCAUUUUCGUGUAUCUCGUCUUCACAGGCUCCCAAGGCAGGUCCCCGUGUUACUAAUGGCACAAGUGUCAGUCGGUGGCAGUAUGGCUCCAGAGUCCAGAUCCUGGGCUAUAUCGUGACGUGGUCGUGGGUGUCCUUAGAGAAGACCGCGCCGUCGCCCACGUACAAGGCGGCAGGCUCCGCGGCGACAGCUGGAAGUACAGCAUGGACGUGAAGCUGAGCUCAACAUCCUGCACGCCGCCGUGCAGGGCGAGCAAAGUUUCAUCUUCGCGGGCCUGCUGCUCACCAGCCACCGGCACCAAUUCCACGAGGAGGUGAUCGGCUACUACCUGAUCCGCGAGCAGGAGCGCUUCAGGAGCAGCGGCGCCGCGAAGCCUACCCCGCUUGCCUCCAAGAUCAAGCGGCCGCCGGGUAAGCCAGAGGCCGAGGGCUCGCGAGGCCCGCGGGGCCGGCUGUCCACCGAGCCCGUGCUCAGGCUCAAGGAGCGCGCGAGACUCGGACCGGCGGCGGGCGUUUGCGCGGCGACGGCCAGGCUCCCAUCGCAGCCUCCGGGCGCCGGGGAGCCAGAGCGUCCCUUAGGUGCAGGCGGUGGGCGCGCUGCGGCCGUGCGCCACGUACCGGCAGCAGAACCGCUUGCCGCCAGGCACCCGGGCUGGGGCUGCGGGGGCGGAAGAACCCAAGUCACAGAGCUACACCGCCGCCUUUGGCCGGGCGCUGGCCGGCCUGGAGUUCGCCGAUGCCAACGCGCGGGCCGCGCACUUGAACGGUGAGGGUGGCGGGGAUGCGAGGCCGGCUCAGCGGCGCUGCCAGGGCGAGAAUUGCUCAUUCUGCUGGCGCCCGAGAUCCAGCGCUGCUCCUCGCACUGGUAUCGCGGGGAGCGGCGGCGGCGGCACGAGGAGCCUGCGGCCUGGAUGCUGGACACGCGCCGCGGCCCCGCCUGCCCGGCUGUUCUCUCCACACGGUCAGUGUCUCCUUUGCGGUCUGGUCCACCCGGAGGCCAGCGAUCCUCCAUCCGUGCUGUGUAUGCGUUUGGUCACAGGUUCCUAGUGGUGCCGGAACCAGCACUGAUGCCAGCCACCCAGGUAGUAAGUACACAGAUAGGACGCAAGUCAUGCUGCGGAAAGUGGUAUGCUAGCUGGCGUCUGCCUCGUGCCUGUGGGAACUCAACAGCCAUUGAAUGGGUAGAGAAAUAAAGACAUUUACAGCCCUUUGCUUUUUGAUGGGUAUGUUUUUUAUGCUUUUGGGGAGGGGCUUUUCCCCCCUAUCCUUGGCAACUGACCUCUUCCAUGGAGCGGUCACCUGCGUGCCAUCGGGCCCACUCAGGGUUUUGAAGCGAACUUGCCUCCCUGGGAUGCUGGUGGCAGCUCUGCCCUGGCCUCCCACCUGUGCCCCCAUUCCUCUCCCCCAGCCCCUUGAGGAGAGGGUGCUUGGAUGCCCACUAGUGCCCUGGUGGUCCCGCUGGCCCCUUUAGGAGCACUGGGUUCCAUCUCAUAAGUAAAACCUCUUCCCACACUCUCAACUCAACAGCGACAUUCAGACACCAUCAGAACUGCCAAUGACUGCAGAAUGGGCACCUCCGGACAGCCUACUCUCAAGUUGAAGGCCUCUCAAACUAAAAGCAGUUGGCCACCUGGGCUUGUGGAAUCUUAGUUUCCUGACCAGGGAUGGAGCCUGAGCCGCCUGCACUGGAAGUCUGGAGUCUUAACCACUGGACCACCAGGGAAGUCCCUGAAUGAGAUAUUUCUAAUGAGGUAUUUCUAAUGUCCCAUGUUCUAAUAAACAUGGGACAUGAUAUCUCCAUAGGUUAAGACAGCUGUCUACAGACAUCUUCCUUUGUCACCACAUCUCCUGGUCACAGAUCUUUGAAUCCUGUUCUUUUCAAGUUCCUGACCAUCCAAUAAACUGUUUGCCCCUGCCCAUAAUUUGGUGUUGAUUGGGAUUUCUUUUUUCUCUCUCUCUCUUUUUUUUUAAUCUUAUUUUUUUUUAAACACCAAAAACAUUUUGUAUUGGGGUAUAGCCAAUUAACAAUGUUGAGUUAGUUUUAGGUGAACAGUGAAGGGACUCAACCAUACAUAUAUAUGUUGGAUUAGGAUUUCUCUACAGUGGCGCUAAUCACAUUUGGGGUUAGACCAUCCUUUUUUUUAAGGGGAAAGUCCUGUGUGCAUUAUAAGAAGUACAGUGACGUCCCUCGCUGACCUCUACCCCAUAGAGGCCAGUAGCUCCCUCCACCUAAAUAUGACCAACAAAUGUGUUGCCAGACAUUGCCAAAGGUCCCCAAAGUGGUAGGGAAAGGGGAAGAAUCACUCGUGUAGGUGAUUUCUUCUGGCCGUUUUUCAAUCCAGAAAAGCAAUAAUCAGUCAUUCUGCUCAAGUGCCAUUCAUGGGGAUGGUUUCCCUUCCCUGCUGUCUUCCAGAGACACUUGACAUUGGAGCUGUCAUGCCCUCAUAACCUGCUCUCAGCAGAGCCAGUGCAUCACGGAGAACAAUCUGAAGUCAGGCUGCCUUGACCAUCUGGUCCCUGGGAACGUCCCAAGAGGUGUCAAUGGAGGGAAAGGAGUUCACAAGCAAGAGGACAUGUUGCAGGGUCUGAGCCACCUGUUCACUCAACUGACAUGCGCCUUCUGGGCUUUCUCAGGCUCCCACGCAUCACCUCCGUGAGAUGACAGAAUGCAGCCAUGUAGACCCGACUUCGUGGAAUGCUGCUCCAGCAAAGCGCAGCCGCUGCUCCUUACCUUGGACAAGGGGAAUCUUCUCACGGCCGCCCCUCCUGACCUUGAACGUGGAGUAGCUCCUCUCGGCACUCCUAGGCGCGCAACAGCCGCUCCUUGGCGGUGGGGUAGCUCCUCUUAGAAGGGGCCCCUGACCUCCGGGAUGGGGUAGUUUCUCUCGGCCACCGCCCCUGACCUCGGGCGUGUAGUAGCUCUUCUCGGCCGCCGCCCCUGACCUCAGGCAUGGGGAAGCUCCUCUUGGCUGCCGCUCCUGCACUGUCGCAGCCUGGUGCUCUCAGUCACUACCCCUGACCUUGGGCGAGGGGUAGCUCCUCACGGCCACGCUUCUGCGCGGUCCAUCGCAGCUGGCACGCUUCUGCUUAAGGGAAUCCAAAUAUGUCCUGUUUGGGGCCAGUUCUCAUUUGUUGCACAGGUUUUGGGGAUUCACCCAGAUUGGUGUGGGCCUUGGUCAUUUGUAGCUGUUUUAUUGCUGGACAAUGUGACUGUACCACAAUUUGUAUAUCCAGAUUUCUGUUAGUGAACAGGUUGCUCCCAGUUUGGGAUAUUAUUAAUAAA